UUCUUUUGCUUUCUUUCUUUCUGCUGUCCCUUUGGUUACACUGAGCCAUCCCACAGCUGCCCAGAAACAUGUGUUUCUCAUCAGUGGCUUGGGAGCUACCUCAGAAGACUGCGGAGCAAAUGAGAUGGAGAGGGACCAGGAUAUGAGGGGGCCUGCAGCAGACCGACAGGAGCCUUGGAAAGGGAACUGACACUGAUUCUAACCACUCCAACAGCUAUCAAAAUACCUGAAAGCAAAUCCUGAAUCCAUCACUCUUGAGUCCAGCCUUGGAAGACUGUAGGAGGGGCCUGUGGGGAUCAGCCAGAAUACUGGACCUGGAGACUUCUGUGCAGGUGCAGCCAGUCUAACACGACCUACUUCCUCAAACUGCUAACCUUAUAUCUGCCGUCUGGGCUAGAGACAGAUGACGCAACCAUGCCAAUAGACAUUAUACAGAUCAACCCUCAGGGCCAAUGGGGGAGGUUUGGGGGUAUAUAGGAAAGCCCUUUGUACGGAAUAAACGAGCUUGCUGGCAGCCCGCUACUGAGCAGCAUCUCCCAAAGUCUGUGUCGUUGAUUUCGCACCUACUCAUCCCCUGCACCCCGCCAAGACGGAAGUCCGACCACCGCGAAACACAGCAACAUCUGGCACCCAACGUGGAUUCCGGACCUGCUCGCUUCUCACGUCGGCCACAACUGGCCCGCUUCGGCUGUUUUCUUGGUGCCUGCUGUCACACAUUUGUUGCCAACGGACCAUCAGUAAGAUGACUCUCCAGGCCCUCUUCGCCCUACGACAUCCAGGCCUGGGCCUUCCUCAAGAGGUCAUAGAGACCUGGCUAACUGAGAUACAAAAGGCCUCCUCCUAAACUAGCCCUCCACCCUGGCAGACCCCCUGAGACUAUACCUCCCUCAGGGUUGGUAGACAAUGACGGGUAAGAUUCUACAGGGACAAGUCAACCUAAGACAUGCGUGAGCUAGAUGUGUGCUCCCGUGACGGGUAAGGCUUAUGCCCGGAGUAAGAACAACCUAAGACAGUCACAACCCGUAUUCUCAAGGUCAUCUCGAGGCGGGUACGAAAAUGUCAGGCAGCACCCUGACUCCCUCUGGGCUGCCUUUAAAAACAAAAGGGUGGAAAUGUAGGAGGGGCCUGUGGGGAUCGGCCAGAAUACCGGACCUGGAGACUUCUGUGCAGGCACACCAGUCUAACACGACCUACUUCCUCAAACAGCUAACCUGAUAUCUGCCGCCCAGGCUAGAGACAGAUGUCAUGCCAAUAGACAAUAUACAGCUCAACCCUCAGGGCCAAUGGGGGAGGUUUGAGGGGGUAUAUAGGAAAGCCCUUUGUACGCAAUAAAUGAGCUC